GACGAACGCUGGCGGCGUGCCUAAUACAUGCAAGUAGAACGCUGAAGGAGGAGCUUACUUCUCUGGAUGAGUUGCGAACAGGUGAGUAACGCGUAGGUAACCUGCCUGGUAGCGGGGGAUAACUAUUGGAAACGAUAGCUAAUACCGCAUAAGAGUAGAUGUUGCAUGACAUUUACUUAAAAGGUGCAAUUGCACCACUACCAGAUGGACCUGCGUUGUAUUAGCUAGUUGGUGGGGUAACGGCUUACCAAGGCGACGAUACAUAGCCGACCUGAGAGGGUGAUCGGCCAAACUGGGACUGAGACACGGCCCAGACUCCUACGGGGGGCAGCAGUAGGGAAUCUUCGGCAAUGGACGGAAGUCUGACCUAGCAACGCCGCGUGAGUGAAGAAGGUUUUCGGAUCGUAAAGCUCUGUUGUAAGAGAAGAACGAGUGUGAGAGUGGAAAGUUCACACUGUGACGGUAUCUUACCAGAAAGGGACGGCUAACUACGUGCCAGCAGCCGCCGUAA
rnacentral:rRNA from 1 species